UUUUUUCAAAAAAUAAGGUAAAAAAAUGCUAAAAUAAGGAAAAUUGAAAAAAUUGAGAAAUGCCAGUUGCUAACCGUUUUCAAUGAACCAUCAUUGGAGAAAAACAGCCCUUAUGACUAAACUACCUAUAUGGAAGUUUAGAACUAUGUUGGUGUAAAAAAUAAUGGAAAUAAAAUUUUUGGUAUCUUUUUGAUUUUUUUCAAAAAAUAAGGUAAACAAAUGCUAAAAUAAGGAAAAUUGAGAAAUGCCAGUUUCUAACCAUUUUCAAUGAUCAAUCAUUGGAGAAAAACAACCUAAAUGACUUAACUACCUGUAUGGAAGUCUUGUACUAUUUUGGUGUAAAAAAUAAUAAGAAUAAAAUUUUUGGUAUCUUUUUGAUUUUUUUCAAGAAAUAAGGUAAAAAAAAUGCUAAAAUAGGGAAAAUUGAGAAAGUUUGAGAAAAGCCGUUUUUUUACCAUUUUCAUUUAUCCAUCACCAGAGGAAAACAACACUAAUGAAUAAACUAUCAUAUGCAAGUCUAGUACUAUUUUGGUGUGAAAAAUGAUGAAAAUGAAAUUUUUGGUAUCUUUUUGAUUUAAAAAAAAAAAAAUAAGGUAAAAAAAUGCUAAAAUAAGAAAAAUUGAGAAAAUUUAAGAAAAGCCAGUUUCUAACCGUUUUCAAUUAUCCAUCACCAGAGGAAAACAACAUUUAUGACUUACUACUGAUAUGGAAGUCUAGUACUAUGUUGGUUUAAAACAAGAAUGUGUCCACAGUACACGGAUGCCCCACUCGCACUAUCAUU
rnacentral:lncRNA from 1 species